AUCUCCCCUUUUUCUUCAACCCCUUCAACACUAUCAAGCACUUCCAUGAAGCCAUGGAACUUACUAUGUUAAAACUAGUAACAAGAAGUAGCCCUUCUCUUCAAUGUAAAUGUAACUCAGCAAGGACCCACCACUGACAAUUAAUAGUUCAAAGUAACACCCUCUCUAGAAAACCUUACUUUUCUCUCUAUUAACCUAACACAAGUACAUUCCAAGAAAGAUUAAAAGAAAAAGAAGGAACUCGGCAAACAUCAGCCCCGCCUGUUUACCAAAAACAUCGCCUCUUGACCCCCCCAUAAGAGGUCCAGCCUGCCCAGUGACUUCUGUUCAACGGCCGCGGUAUCCUAACCGUGCGAAGGUAGCGCAAUCAUUUGUUUCUUAAAUAGGGACUAGUAUGAAAGGCAUCACGAGGGCCUAACUGUCUCCUUUUUCCAAUCAGUGAAACUAAUCUCCCCGUGAAGAAGCGGGGAUAUUUUUAUAAGACGAGAAGACCCUAUGGAGCUUUAAACUCUACGACACCUGCCUUCUACUACUUUCUUUUCAGAAAACUCCCCCUCCUUUGGUACCCUGUCUACGAGCUUUCGGUUGGGGCGACCCCGGAGAAUAACUUAUCCUCCGUAAUGAACAGAUUUAUCUUUAGCAAAAAUCUACAACUUUAAGCAUCAGUAAAACUGACAUACAUUGACCCAAAAAUUUGAGCAACGAACCAAGUUACCCUAGGGAUAACAGCGCUAUCCACUUUGAAAGUUCCUAUCGACAAGUGGGCUUACGACCUCGAUGUUGGAUCAGGGUAUCCUAGUGGUGCAACCGCUACUAAAGGUUUGUUUGUUCAACAAUUAAAACCCU
rnacentral:rRNA from 1 species